UGUAAGGCAGAGAUGGAGAAAAAGGUAUUUGAUGUGUUAACUAAAGAGAGCUAGCGUUAGGUGAAAGUUAGUGUUAAUGUGAAUAUAUAAUGAUCACUCCGGAGCUUCUGAAUUGAAAGGCUUUUGUCAAGUAAGUAAAGACGUUUACCAGCGAUAUAUGGUUAGGAUUCACUAUAAAUAAUAGACUUAUAUAGUUAAGUUGUUUAGAGUUGAUCUGAUAAUAAGUGGCAGUUAGUAUACCUAAUUGCAAGUAAGGUGGUACCACGGAAGUUAAAUCUUUCGUCCUUAUA
rnacentral:ncRNA from 1 species